UACGAAGGGGGCUAGCGUUGUUCGAAAUUACUGGGCGUAAAGCGCACGUAGGCGGAUCCUUAAGUCAGGGGUGAAAUCCCGAGGCUCAACCUCGGAACUGCCUUUGAUACUGGGGAUAUCGAGUCCGGGAGAGGUGAGUGGAACUGCGAGUGUAGAGGUGAAAUUCGUAGAUAUUCGGAAGAACACCAGUGGCGAAGGCGGCUCACUGGUCCGGUACUGACGCUGAGGUGCGAAAGCGUGGGGAGCAAACAGG
rnacentral:rRNA from 1 species